CUCUCUUCCUCUAUCUGUCUCUACGUCUUCCUUUAUCUGUCUCUACCUCUUCCUUUCUUCUCUCUUUCAUUGUCUCUCUCUUCCUCUUCUUUCUUCUCUCUUCCACCUCUCUCUUCUUCUUCUUAUUUCUUCUCUCUUAUUUUCUUAAACAAAUAUGUUAUUCUUAUCUAUUUAUAUUUAUGGAACUCCGACCAUCUUACGACGGUGGACGGUUUAGCAGUGGUAGAUAUGUGGUGGCAGAAAUGUUUCCGACAACGAGUGUGGUGGUUGUCGGAUACAAAAUGGUUUAUGUGUGAAUUUUUAAUUUUAGGUUUUGUUAUUAACUUAUUCUCUUUUAUUUGA